UUGUCCUACGGGACGCAGCAGUGGGGAAUAUUGCACAAUGGGGGAAACCCUGAUGCAGCGACGCCACGUGAGUGAAGAAGUAUUUCGGUAUGUAAAGCUCUAUCAGUAGGGAAGAAGUUGACGGUACCUGAGUAAGAAGCCCCGGCUAACUACGUGCCAGCAGCCGCGGUAAUACGUAGGGAGCAAGCGUUAUCCGGAUUUACUGGGUGUAAAGGGAGCGUAGACGGCAGUGCAAGUCUGAAGUGAAAGCUCCGGGCUUAACCCGGGAACUGCUUUGGAAACUGUACGGAUGGAGUGUUGGAGAG
rnacentral:rRNA from 1 species